AACGGAAAAUUGAAAACAAAACUUAUUGCUUAUAAAAAUAACAAUCAAAGAGCAGAAAAAACAUCGAGUGUAAGCGCGAGUGCGAGUGAAUUGCACAGCACGUAAAAGCGCUUUAGUGGCGAUUGCACGACUAUGAGAUACCCUGCAAAGCGUAACCGAAUAACAAUAUGUCAGACUAAAUCAAUGAAGACUGAUGAAGUAUAAAAUCAGUUAACGGGUGCAUGUUACAAAAAGUAGAGCUAAAUCGAUAUGCCCUGCUUUAUCAAUUUUUAAUGGGUAAAUAUGUAAAUAAAUAGUGGGUGGCAGUGCGUGAGGAACUGAGAGAUGUUAAAAGAAAAUCAAGGGAUUGCUUUACAUGCUUAAGGAUAAGGCAACCAAAAGAGUGACUAAAAAGUAACUAAAAGUUUAAUGGAGAUUGAGUAAUGCACGUGUCCAAUAAGUAUAUAAUACACGUGCCUGCACGUGUCGCACUCACCUUGACAAAGCAGCAGCAGGUGUGGCAGGUGUUGCGGCUGGAGCAGCGUCAGCUGAACAGGCAAUGGGGCUGUGGCACAAUGGGCAUGUCCGAUGCCUUGUUAUCUCCAUGGGCGAUGCACAGUGAUGGCAAGUAGA